rnacentral:tRNA from 1 species
GCGACAGUGGCUCAGUUGGAUAGAGCAAUGGUCUUCUAAACCAUGGGUCGCGGGUUCGAACCCCGCCUGUCGCA